UAAGGAGGGAGCUAGCGUUGUUCGGAAUUACUGGGCGUAAAGCGCACGUAGGCGGCUUUUUAAGUCAGGGGUGAAAUCCCGGGGCUCAGCCCCGGAACUGCCCUUGAAACUGGGAAGCUAGAAUCUUGGAGAGGCGAGUGGAAUUCCGAGUGUAGAGGUGAAAUUCGUAGAUAUUCGGAAGAACACCAGUGGCGAAGGCGACUCGCUGGACAAGUAUUGACGCUGAGGUGCGAAAGCGUGGGGAGCAAACAGG
rnacentral:rRNA from 1 species